CCUACGGGAGGCUGCAGUGGGGAAUAUUGCACAAUGGGGGAAACCCUGAUGCAGCGACGCCGCGUGAGUGAAGAAGUAUUUCGGUAUGUAAAGCUCUAUCAGCAGGGAAGAUAAUGACGGUACCUGACUAAGAAGCUCCGGCUAACUACGUGCCAGCAGCCGCGGUAAUACGUAGGGGGCAAGCGUUAUCCGGAUUUACUGGGUGUAAAGGGAGCGUAGGUGGCAGGGCAAGUCAGAUGUGAAAACCCGGGGCUCAACCCCGGGAGUGCAUUUGAAACUGUCCAGCUGGAGUGCAGGAGAGGUAAGCGGAAUUCCUAGUGUAGCGGUGAAAUGCUUAGAUAUCACGAAGAACUCCGAUUGCGAAGGCAGCCUACUAAACUGCCACUGACAUUGAUGCUCGAAAGUGUGGGUAUCAAACAGGAUUAGAUACCCUAGUAGUC
rnacentral:rRNA from 1 species